GGAAUCAGCCUGUACUCCGAAUGCAUCUANUAUUAGAGUUUGAUCAUGGCUCAGAUUGACACGCUGGCGGCAGGCCUAACACAUGCAAGUCGAGCGGAUGACCGGGAGCUUGCUCCUUGAUUCAGCGGCGGACGGGUGAGUAAUGCCUAGAAUCUGCCUGGUAGCUGGGGGACAACGUUUCGAAAGGAACGCUAAUACCGCAUUACGUCCUAGCGGGAGAAAGCAAGUGGUGACCUUCGGGCCUUGCGCUAUCAGAUGAGCCUAGGUCGGAUUAGCUAGUUGGUGAGGUAAUGGCUCACCAAGGCUGACGAUCCGUAACUGGUCUGAGAGGAUGAUCUAGUCACACUGGAACUGAUGACACGGUCCAGACUCCUACGGGAGGCAGCAGUGGUGGAAUAUUGGACAAUGGGCUUAANAGCCUGAUCCAGCCUAUGCCGCGUGUGUGAAGAAGGUCUUCGGAUUGUAAAGCNCUUUAAGUUGG
rnacentral:rRNA from 1 species